rnacentral:rRNA from 1 species
GACGGAGGAUGCAAGCGUUAUCCGGAAUGAUUGGGCGUAAAGCGUCAGCAGGUGGCAGUUCAAGUCUGCUGUCAAAGACCGGGGCUUAACUUCGGAAAGGCAGUGGAAACUGAACAGCUAGAGUAUGGUAGGGGCAGAGGGAAUUCCUGGUGUAGCGGUGAAAUGCGUAGAUAUCAGGAAGAACAUCGGUGGCGAAGGCGCUCUGCUGGACCAUAACUGACACUCAGGGACGAAAGCUAGGGGAGCGAAUGGG